AUACUUACCUGGCAGGGGAGACACCAUGAUCGUGAAGGUGGUUUUCCCAGGGUGAGGCUCAUCCAUUGCACCCCGGGUGUGCUGACCCCUGCGAGUUCCCCAAAUGUGAGAAACUUGACUGCAUAAUUCAUGGUAGUGGGAGACUGGGUUUACACUUUUCCCUG
rnacentral:snRNA from 1 species